rnacentral:lncRNA from 1 species
GCUACUCACCCCAAAACACUGAAGAUAGGGCAGCAGACAUUUUAAAGUUGUUUUGUGACUGUUUUUCAUGUUAAUUUAGGGCACAAUUAUGGUUGCAAAGGUAGUUAAGUGUUCGCAAAAAGUGUUUUGGGGUGGGAUUUGCUGGUAGGUAGCCAGUACCAAUCUGUGAGGGGUAGAAUGAGGGGGCGGGAAGGUUAGUUUGAAGAGGGCAGGCUUUCCACGAUGACAGCACUUUCCCUAUCAUAAUUUCACCCUACCAAAAACCCUUCAAAAUCCAGUGGACAUACAUAAGAAUUGCCGUAGAAGUCAGUUGGAACAAAACAGCGCGCAUUGACGCAACGAAAAUCCAAAGUCGGAAGAAAAUAAGAGCGCGAAGAAACGUUGUUUUCUGGGUUUUGGGCCAUAGUUUGAUAUGGCUGCCACUCUCCAGAAACUUGCAGUAUCCGUGUCGGGCAUAUGGAUCUGCCUCCUGCUCCUCAACCCCUUUCCACAAACUGGGAUCAAAGCUAUCCUGUUCAGUGCUUUGGCAGUCCAUUGGAGCCUCGAAUGCAUCCUAAAAUGUGUCUAAAUAACUGCAGACACUUCCACCCUCAGGGCCAGGGGUGGAUUAAGUCAAAGCAUCCUCUCGGUGCAUACCAACGAGACGUCCUCAAUCACUUGAAAGACAGCACAGUGCACGUAAGCAGCGUCGUUGCACUGCAAUCUUCACUCAGAAAAGGGUAUUUAUUAACACAUGG